UCCAGUUCGUCAAUUUAAUUGUGGCCGCGGUUAAAUAAAGCUUAAAUAUAUCAUUCUUUGAGUAGUCCAACCUGCUGCACACGGUUUGCAAUUUUGGUGUUUGUAAAUAAUUUCGACAGCAUGUCGGAAAAAAUGCCACAAUUCUCAUAAAAAAGAAGUAACCCAUGCAAGGCACGGAUUAGCGACUGUUUGUCAUUUUGAGUGACGCUGACAUUUGUUUUUCGUCAUAAAGUGUAAGGAUUUGCAUGGAUGGAUGAACCCAAAUCAAGAUCAACGGUAUAGAUCGGAUCAUCAUUAUAUUCGUUUGCGGAUGUUUCCAAUUAAAUUGCAAAGAAAAUUUUACGUGAUGUGCUGCCUGUGGUUUGUCUUGAUUGAACAUUCGUGUCAGUGUAGCAUGCAGUGGAAUAAUUUUCGUCCAAUUUAUUUAUUUUUAUGCUACAAUUUCUGCAACCUCAACUUUUUUUUGUUGAUUUAUAUAAAACAAUGUUUAUUGACUCAGUGACAAACUUCAAACAAAAUGGGUAACAACAUUCUACUUACUAGCAGUAUUAUUAUCAUGAUUAUAAUGUGGGCAAGUAGAUAUAAAACUGUACUUUUAUAGCAAAAUAAAUAAAUAAAUAAAUAAAUACAUACUACCACACCGCAUAAUAUUCUCAAAAAAUAGUAAUAUCUUU